GACGAACGCUGGCGGCGUGCUUAACACAUGCAAGUCGAACGGAAAGGCCCUGCUUGCAGGGUACUCGAGUGGCGAACGGGUGAGUAACACGUGGGUGCUCUGCCCUGCACUUCGGGAUAAGCCUGGGAAACUGGGUCUAAUACCGGAUAGGAGCCAUUUUUUGUGUGAUGGUUGGAAAGUUUUUUCGGUGUAGGAUGAGCUCGCGGCCUAUCAGCUUGUUGGUGGGGUAAUGGCCUACCAAGGCGGCGACGGGUAGCCGGCCAGAGAGGGUGGACGGCCACAUUGGGACUGAGAGACGGCCCAGACUCCUACGGGAGGCAGCAGUGGGGAAGAUUGCACAAUGGGCGCAAGCCUGGUGCAGCGACGCCGCGUGGGGGAUGACGGCCUUCGGGUUGUAAACUCCUUUCGCUAGGGACGAAGCUUUUUGUGACGGUACCUAGAGAAGAAGCACCGGCUAACUACGUG
rnacentral:rRNA from 1 species